rnacentral:rRNA from 1 species
GACGAACGCUGGCGGCGUGCCUAAUACAUGCAAGUAGAACGCACAGUUUAUACCGUAGCUUGCUACACCAUAGACUGUGAGUUGCGAACGGGUGAGUAACGCGUAGGUAACCUGCCUGGUAGCGGGGGAUAACUAUUGGAAACGAUAGCUAAUACCGCAUAAUAUUAAUUAUUGCAUGUUAAUUAAUUGAAAGGUGCAAUUGCACCACUACCAGAUGGACCUGCGUUGUAUUAGCUAGUAGGUGAGGUAACGGCUCACCUAGGCGACGAUACAUAGCCGACCUGAGAGGGUGAUCGGCCACACUGGGACUGAGACACGGCCCAGACUCCUACGGGAGGCAGCAGUAGGGAAUCUUCGGCAAUAGACGAAAGUCUGACCGAGCAACGCCGCGUGAGUGAAGAAGGUUUUCGGAUCGUAAAGCUCUGUUGUAAGAGAAGAACGGGUGUGAGAGUGGAAAGUUCACACUGUGACGGUAUCUUACCAGAAAGGGACGGCUAACUACGUG